AACGAACGCUGGCGGCAGGCUUAACACAUGCAAGUCGAGCGCCCCGCAAGGGGAGCGGCCGACGGGUGAGUAACGCGUGGGAACGUACCUUUUGGUUCGGAACAACUCCGGGAAACUGGAGCUAAUACCGGAUAAGCCCUAACGGGGAAAGAUUUAUCGCCGAAAGAUCGGCCCGCGUCUGAUUAGCUAGUUGGUGAGGUAACGGCUCACCAAGGCGACGAUCAGUAGCUGGUCUGAGAGGAUGAUCAGCCACACUGGGACUGAGACACGGCCCAGACUCCUACGGGAGGCAGCAGUGGGGAAUAUUGGACAAUGGGCGCAAGCCUGAUCCAGCCAUGCCGCGUGAGUGAUGAAGGCCUUAGGGUUGUAAAGCUCUUUUGUGCGGGAAGAUAAUGACUGUACCGGAAGAAUAAGCCCCGGCUAACUUCGU
rnacentral:rRNA from 1 species